rnacentral:lncRNA from 1 species
AAUUGUUUAAGUACUAUUGUAGCAACAUACUUUUUAAUAUUUCUUCAAAAAAAAAACAUACUUUUUAAUAGAAAAUGAUUCUGAGUUCGAUCGAGACUGAAACCAAUAGGUAGCAAACAAGCCUUUGAUAGAUGUUUAUAAGCGAAUAAGCGAUAAAAUGGAGCUACCAAGAUUAAUAUUAUCAUCAUAUUAUUGUAUAUCCCAAUUUCUUUUUCAGUCAAUUAAUAUAGUUAAUAAAGAUAAGAUUACAAAUCUUGAAUAUAAAAUAACCAACAGAGAUCAUGAAAAAAAAAUAUGUGGAAGUGUUUUAAAUUAGAGAAAUUGCACCCAGUAGACACAAAAAAAAAACAAAAUUCACUAACUAACUAAAAAUACCCUCUCUCUCCUACUUUCUCUUCCUAUCUUUCUCUAAUCUUUCUCUAAAAAUCUAAUUUUAUUUUUUUUGGCUAUUUAGCAAAUAAGCCCUUUAAAUUAUGUGGGGACUGGUCAUACAUAAUUCAUCAAAAUAUCAAAAUUUUGCAUACACUCUUCUUCUUUAACGCCCUUUGAAUGAUC